rnacentral:rRNA from 1 species
GUGGGGAAUCUUCCGCAAUGGACGAAAGUCUGACGGAGCAACGCCGCGUGAGUGAAGAAGGUUUUCGGAUCGUAAAGCUCUUUCGUUAGGGACGAACGUGCUCUUUGUGAAUAAUGAGGAGUAAUGACGGUACCUAAAUAAGAAGCCACGGCUAACUACGUGCCAGCAGCCGCGGUAAUACGUAGGUGGCAAGCGUUGUCCGGAAUUAUUGGGCGUCAAGCGCGCGCAGGCGGGAUAUCAAGGCUGUCUUAAAAGUGCGAGGCUCAACCUCGUGAGGGGACAGAAACUGGUAUUCUUGAGUGUCGGAGAGGAAAGUGGAAUUCCAAGUGUAGCGGUGAAAUGCGUAGAGAUUUGGAAGAACACCAGUGGCGAAGGCGACUUUCUGGACGAUGUCUGACACUGAGGCGCGAAAGCCAGGGGAGCGAACGGGAUUAGAUACCCGAGUAGUCC